GCGACCAACGGUAGGAGAAGGAAGGUGGGGAUGACGUCAAAUCAGCACGGCCCUUAUGUCCAGGGCUACACACGUGUUACAAUGGCCGGUACAAAGGGCAGCUACACCGCGAGGUGAUGCUAAUCUCGAAAGCCGGUCUCAGUUCGGAUCGAAGUCUGCAACCCGACUUCGUGAAGUUGGAUUCGCUAGUAAUCGCGCAUCAGCCAUGGCGCGGUGAAUACGUUCCCGGGCCUU
rnacentral:rRNA from 1 species